rnacentral:lncRNA from 1 species
AUAAAAUAAAGUUUCUUAAAUCCACUCUCUUUAAAUUAAUCUAUUAAUCAUUCUAACAUAGAUCUAGAUUUAUUAAAAUAUAAUAUAUUUUAACUAAUUUUUACAUAUUAUAAGCUUUUAUAGUACAACAACAGAAAAUACAUAAUGAGAUCCAUAAUCACUUGCUCCCAACAUGCGAUAAGUAGUAGAAAUGGCUGUGAUAGCCUAAGAAAUGUUAUAUUGUUAUUUUAUUAUAGAAGCAUGAUUCACAAGAACACACAUAUGAUCACACAUCACAAUCUAAAUCUAUCCAAAAUCAUGUCCUGGAGAU